AUUUAGAAGAUAAAAUAGCUGAACGUGCCCAAUCUCGUCUGAUCUCGGAAGCUAAGCAGGAUUGGGCCUGGUUAGUACUUGGAUGGAAGACCACCUAGAAAUGCCAGAUGCUGUAGGCA
rnacentral:rRNA from 1 species